rnacentral:rRNA from 1 species
CCUACGGGGUGCAGCAGUGGGGAAUAUUGCACAAUGGGGGAAACCCUGAUGCAGCGACGCCGCGUGAGUGAAGAAGUAUUUCGGUACGUAAAGCUCUAUCAGCAGGGAAGAAAAUGACGGUACCUGACUAAGAAGCCCCGGCUAACUACGUGCCAGCAGCCGCGGUAAUACGUAGGGGGCAAGCGUUAUCCGGAUUUACUGGGUGUAAAGGGAGCGUAGACGGCAGCGCAAGUCUGGAGUGAAAUCCCAUGGCUUAACCAUGGAACUGCUUUGGAAACUGUGCAGCUAGAGUGCAGGAGAGGGAAGCGGAAUUCCUAGUGUAGCGGUGAAAUGCGUAGAUAUUAGGAGGAACACCAGUGGCGAAGGCGGCUUACUGGACUGUAACUGACGUUGAGGCUCGAAAGCGUGGGGAGCAAACAGGAUUAGAUACCCUUGUAGUC